ACUCAAAUGAAUAGACGGGGGCCCGCACAAGCGGUGGAGCAUGUGGUUUAAUUCGACGCAACGCGCAGAACCUUACCAGCCCUUGACAUGCCCGUCGGGGGGUUCAGAGAUGAGCCCUUUCAUUUAGUUGGACGGUGCACAGGUGCUGCAUGGCUGUCGUCAGCUCGUGUCGUGAGAUGUUGGGUUAAGUCCCGCAACGAGCGCAACCCUCGUCUUCAGUUGCCAUCAUUCAGUUGGGCACUCUGGAGAGACUGCCGGUGACAAGCCGGAGGAAGGUGGGGAUGACGUCAAGUCCUCAUGGCCCUUACGGGCUGGGCUACACACGUGCUACAAUGGCGGUGACAGUGGGAUGCGAAAGCGCGAGCUGGAGCAAAUCCCCAAAAUCCGUCUCAGUUCGGAUUGCACUCUGCAACUCGAGUGCAUGAAGUCGGAAUCGCUAGUAAUCGCGCAACAGCAUGGCGCGGUGAAUACGUUCCCGGGCCUUGCACACACCGCCCGU
rnacentral:rRNA from 1 species